GACGAACGCUGGCGGCGUGCCUAAUACAUGCAAGUCGAGCGAAUCAAUGGGAGCUUGCUCCCUGAGAUUAGCGGCGGACGGGUGAGUAACACGUGGGUAACCUGCCUGUAAGACUGGGAUAACUUCGGGAAACCGGAGCUAAUACCGGAUACGUUCUUUUCUCGCAUGAGGAGAGAUGGAAAGAUGGUUCUGCUAUCACUUACAGAUGGACCCGCGGCGCAUUAGCUAGUUGGUGAGGUAACGGCUCACCAAGGCGACGAUGCGUAGCCGACCGGAGAGGGUGAUCGGCCACCCGGGGACUGAGACACGGCCCAGACUCCUACGGGAGGCAGCAGUAGGGAAUCUUCCGCAAUGGACGAAAGUCUGACGGAGCAACGCCGCGUGAGCGAAGAAGGCCUCCGGGUCGUAAAGCUCUGUUGUUAGGGAAGAACAAGUACGAGAGUAACUGCUCGUACCUUGACGGUACCUAACCAGAAAGCCACGGCUAACUACGUGCCAGCCGCCGCGGUAA
rnacentral:rRNA from 1 species